AUGCCUAGCCCUAAAUCUCGAUGUCUCCAACACAUAAGACAUCCGCCCGAGAACUACGAGCACAAACGCUUAAAACUCUAAGGACUUGGCGGUGCCCUAAACCCACCUAGAGGAGCCUGUUCUAUAAUCGAUAACCCACGAUACACCCAACCACUUCUUGCCAAAACAGCCUACAUACCGCCGUCACAGCCCACCUCUAUGAGAGCACAACAGCGAGCCCAACAGCCCACCAACCCCGCUAGUAAGACAGGUCAAGGUAUAGCCCACGAAGUGGAAGAAAUGGGCUACAUUUCCUAAAAUAGUAAAACCCAACGAAAAGGGGCCUGAAACCUACCCCUAGAAGGCGGAUUUAGCAGUAAGAAGAGACAAUCAUGCUCUCCUUAAAACGGUCCUAGGGCACGUACAUA
rnacentral:rRNA from 1 species